rnacentral:lncRNA from 1 species
AUGGAAAAUAAUAUAAGGAGAAAAAAUGAGGGAAGACAAAUAAAAAUUGUAUUUUUUCUUUUGGGAUUAUUAAUAUAUUUACCAUCCUAUGCAAUGGUAAAUGUAUCCUUUUUAAUAAAUGAUAUAUAUAAAGAAAGUAUGUGUGUUACUAUUAUGGGUAUAUAUGGUGUAUGUAUGGCUAUUUCUUCCGUUUUUCAACUAAUACUUGAAUUAACUUCUUUUAAAUUAAUAAUUGGAUGUAAUAUUUGUAAAACAGUAGCUAUUUUAUUUUUUACAUUAUAUUUAUGUUUAUUGAAAAGUUCUAAAUAUUACUUGUAUUUUAUUUCGGGUAUACUUGGCUUAUUAAGUGGGUAUUUAUAUUCUGCUUGUACAAAGUACUCUUUACUUUUAUUGGAGAAUGUAAAUGGAUAUUUAAUAACAGGGGUAAGUUUUUGUGGUUUUUUUUUUUUUUUUGCUAACUUGCCGUUUUCUUAUUUUACAAUUAAAGCAGGGGAUGUAAAUACAUAUUAUAAAGCUAUUGGUUAUUCAUUAAGUUUUUUCAUAGUAUUAGAAAUUCUAAUUAUUUUAUACAUAAUAUAUGUACAAAUGACUUCUUUUUAUUUUAACGAGGAAAAGAAAAGAAUAGAAAAUUCGUUUUAUUCAGAUAGUAAUAAUAUUUUAAAAAAUAAGGAAUUAGAAACAGAAUAUAAAUAUGUAAAAAAAUGUUCUGGAAGCAUUAAUGAAACACAUAUAGAUGUAAAUGAAAUUGUUUCACCUGCUAAUGUUGAUAUUAAAAGUGUAGCUGAUAGUGGUAUUUAUAAAAAUAAUAACAAUGAUUACAAUCAUAUUAACACGCAUUAUAAUAUUCUUAACAAAACAAACAAAAAUAGAAAUACUAAUUUAAAAGAAAAACUUGUUUAUAUAAAAAAUAAACUAAAUUUCAAUAGCAUAACUUUAGGUAUAAAAUUAAUUAAAUAUUAUUAUAUUUGUUGUACUCCCAUAUGUUUUACAGUUUUUAUAACAUAUUUAGUUUAUCCCCAUCUAAGUAAGUUCAAACAAAAUAGUUAA